CCUACGGGUGGCAGCAGUGGGGAAUAUUGGGCAAUGGAGGAAACUCUGACCCAGCAACGCCGCGUGAAUGAUGAAGGUCCUCGGAUUGUAAAGCUCUUUUCUCAGGGAAGAAGAAAGUGACGCUACCUUAGGAAUAAGCCUCGGCUAACUACGUGCCAGCAGCCGCGGUAAUACGUAGGAGGCCAGCGUCAUCCGGAAUGACUGGGGGUAAAGGGUGCGUAGGUGGUGUGACAAGUUGGUAGCGAAACUCCGGGGCUUCACCGCGGCACUACUGCCAAAACUGUUUGACUGGAGUGCAGGAGGGGGAAGUGGAAUUCCGAGUGUAGCGGUGAAAUGCGGAGAUAUUAGGAGGAACACCGGUGGCGAAGGCGAUUUGCUGGACUGUAACUGACACUGAGGCACGAAAGCGUGGGGAGCAAACAGGAUUAGAUACCCUUGUAGUC
rnacentral:rRNA from 1 species